CCUGAGACUACAGCCACAGCAGCAGUAGCUCACCACACACUUGUGUUCCGUCAUUCUGCAAGCAGCAAGAGCCCAAUGAGAAAUCUUGCAACCCCUCAGAAUCAUCUCGUGACCCCGAGUUUGGCUUCGUUUAAUCCGUGCCCCCUGUCCACCCAGCAGGGUAGUACCGGGUGUCAGACGGGGAAUGUGUCGGUUUCAGUCGGUCGAGGUUACUGGGUGGUGAUCGCGAGUCUAUCGCGUGGUUAGACCGUGGUGAAACACACACACACCACCUCGUUCUGUGAGGGAGCAGCAACAUGGACUGCACUCAACUAAUAUGAACAGACUGGGUCAGGAAGACUGAGCUUGCAGCGUACUCAGUGACCUGCAAAAGUCUGGAGGAGAGGCGAAGGAAGCCGAAGCACCAAGGCAGCAAGGCGGGAAGUAGGGGGAGAGGGAGAGGGGCUAAAGGAGGAGCUCUACUGUCACCCUCAACCGCCUCGGGUUACAAAAGGAGUGCGUCUUACAAAUUCACAGACAAGUAAGUGUUGAGGAUAGUUGUGAGUUGUGACGUUACGCCGGAAUUUUCUUGAAGACUUUAAUACCCAACUACCUCCCAAGGCACUUAAAAUAUAGCGCAUGGCUUUCAUGUAUCAUUUUCCACCUGUCGCCCUCUUUCUUCUGUAGCAAGUUAUCUCACCACUUGUUAUCAAUCCUCACUUGCUGCUAUCUUUGCUCCUAUAUAUUGAUCUCUUACCUAGUCGUUUGAUUUCAGAAAUUUACGAGGCGGCGUGGGUGCCUGGGGAAACCUGGAGAAAGUAAACCGUGAAAAAAAAAAUGUCGCAUUACUGGCCCCGUGUCCCGGAGUAAUGUGUUCUUACCUACCACAGGCUCAAGGACCAAUGUGACGGAGAUGAGCACCGAAGCCACACGCAGCUAUAACUAUCGCCCGUCAAUCAGUAGCACAGAGAACAACAGCACCGGCAACAACAACAACAGCAAAAGAACAAGCAAGAUCCACACAUCAACCGCAACAUCACCACCAGUCAUCUAUAAAGGACGUUGGCAGGAGCUGCAGUAGCAGAAAGCAGGAUUAUAGUUGAACCAUUGUUUUCCUCUCACUGCAAGUACCAAAGGAUCCCAUCAGUGGGAACAAGUGAGUAUAUUUCACAAUAUUGUAUAUUAUUUUGUAUAUCAU